rnacentral:rRNA from 1 species
AGCAGCCGCGGUAAUUCCAGCUCCAAUAGCGUAUAUUAAAGUUGUUGCAGUUAAAAAGCUCGUAGUUGAAUUUCGGGGUCAAUAAGUUGGUCAUGCCAAUGGUAUGUACUGGCUUUAUUGAUUCCUACCUCUUGACGAACUGUGAUGCCAUUAAUUUGGUGUUGCAAGGAAUCAGGACUGUUACCUUGAAAAAAUUAGAGUGUUUAAAGCAAGCUUACGCUUGAAUACAUUAGCAUGGAAUAAUGAAAUAGGACGUUUGAUCCUAUUUUGUUGGUUUCUAGGAUCGACGUAAUGAUUAAUAGGGAUAGUUGGGGGCAUUAGUAUUCAAUUGUCAGAGGUGAAAUUCUUGGAUUUAUUGAAGACUAACUACUGCGAAAGCAUUUGCCAAGGAUGUUUUCAUUAAUCAAGAACGAAAGUUAGGGGAUCGAAGACGAUCAGAUACCGUCGUAGUCUUAACCAUAAACUAUGCCGACUAGGGAUCGGAUGAUGUUAAUUUUUAAUGUA